UACCAGCACCCCGAGUGGUCGGGACGAUUAUUGGGCCUAAAGCAUCCGUAGCCGGUUCUGCAAGUCCCCCGUUAAAUCCAGCUGCUCAACAGAUGGGCCGCGGAGGAUACUACAGAGCUAGGAGGCAGGAGAGGCAAGCGGUACUCAGUGGGUAGGGGUAAAAUCCGUUGAUCCAUUGAAGACCACCAGUGGCGAAGGCGGCUUGCCAGAAUGCGCUCGACGGUGAGGGAUGAAAGCUGGGGGAGCGAACAGG
rnacentral:rRNA from 1 species